GAUGAACGCUGGCGGCGUGCCUAAUACAUGCAAGUCGAGCGAACAGACGAGGAGCUUGCUCCUCUGACGUUAGCGGCGGACGGGUGAGUAACACGUGUAUAACCUACCUAUAAGACUGGGAUAACUUCGGGAAACCGGAGCUAAUACCGGAUAAUAUAUUGAACCGCAUGGUUCAAUAGUGAAAGACGGUUUUGCUGUCACUUAUAGAUGGUUACGCGCCGCAUUAGCUAGUUGGUAAGGUAACGGCUUACCAAGGCGACGAUGCGUAGCCGACCUGAGAGGGUGAUCGGCCACACUGGAACUGAGACACGGUCCAGACUCCUACGGGAGGCAGCAGUAGGGAAUCUUCCGCAAUAGGCGAAAGCCUUACGGAACAACGCCGCGUGAGUGAUGAAGGUCUUCGGAUCGUAAAACUCUGUUAUUAGGGAAGAACAAAUGUGUAAGUAAAUAUACACGUCUUGACGGUACCUAAUCAAAAAGCCACGGCUAACUACGUG
rnacentral:rRNA from 1 species